rnacentral:lncRNA from 1 species
GUAAAUUUAAAUCAGUUUAUAACGUUGCGAAAAAAGAGAGAACGAAAGACAGAGAAAGAGAGCGAGAGAGAGAGAGAGAUAGAAAGAGAGAGAGAGAGAGAGAGAGAGAAGGAUGAAGAGAUAAAGAGAGAGUACACUUCAUUUACCAAUAGCUUCGACUUGUUCAAUCUCUGGCGACUAUAGCAGCUUCCACUCCAAUGCGUUCUUCAACCGUGCACUGCACUGCUUUAUAUCUGCUUAUGUGAAGAGGAAAAUCGCCCAAACAAGAAAAAAAAAUCGAAUCUUCUUUUCCUUUUUCUUUUUCUUUUUUCCUUUUUUUUUCUUUUUUUUUUUGGUCUUAUUUUCUUUCCUUCUCUCUGACAGAUGCUAACAAGGUGAUAGAUAAUAACAAGACUAACUGAACCCCCUACGGAGAGCAUUUUUAUCUUUCUUUACUACCGGCAACACCACUACUACUUGUAGGAGAAAAAGAAAAAAGAAAAAAAAAAAGAAAAAGAAAUAGAAACAGGAAGGAAAAAAUACGAAAGAAAAAAAAGAAACGAAGGAAUUUUUUUGAAAAAACCAGAUUAUCAAUCAUUGUAAUUUUACAAUUAAUUUUUUUAAUUAAUUUUUUAAAAAAUUAUAACGGUAAAAAUCAAAAUGUUAAAAAAACCUGAAACGAAACCCAUGUCGUGGUUAGAAGCGGUUUUGAAAGCAGACUAAACUAAACAAUAGAUAGAAGAGUCUGCUAAUCAUUCCUGGGAAUUUCCUCAACAUCUCUGCUACUACUAUUACUACUACUACUACUGCUACUACUACUGCUGCUGCUGCUGCUGCUGCUGCUAUUACUGCUAUUGUUGUUGUUGCUGCUGCUUUUAGUGACGACCAACAACGGCAUGUCUAUGUAAUAACGUGCAGGAGAGGCGCACACAAAUAUCACCCUUAAUAAUGAGGUGUCCUUAAUCGUUCCAGCCACACUUCAUUUAAUAUUAUUAUUAUUUUAAAAACCGUUUCCACGAGGCUUUCUUUGUUUAUUUCUUCCGGGAAUUUUGUGAGAGCAUUUUUUGUUUUACAUAUAAAUAUAUCCAUAUAUAGAUAAACAUAUAUAUAUAUGUAUCCAUAUAUAUAUAAUUUUCCUGUUUGAGUACGCUAAAUCUAUUGUGUAUGUAUGCAUGUAUGUGAUUACGAAUGUGUGCGCUUUAAUAAUACAUGUGAUCGCUUUAAUUGUAUGUAUUUAACGUACAGUUCGCCCACCAACAAACUCACAUAAAUAAACACAUCUCAUUCAUAUAUGUACAAUACGCAUGCAUAAGCAGUAACAACACACUCAUAUCACAUCCUAUAUAUAUAUAUAUUGAAAGAGUGAGAGAGAGAGAGAGAGAGAGAUGUUUCAUAUACAUGCAGUGUAGAAAAAGAAAACAUCCCUUUAUGCAUUUGAACGGCAGAAAAAUCAGCUUGCAGGAAAAUUUGCUUUCGAUGUAAUUUAUUCCAACAAAAAUAUUGCUCGCUGACUCCUGUCGUGGUGGUGUUGAGAGAAGUUAUUAUAUAGCACAGUGUGGUGAGCACACGCGCGUGUAUAUAUAUAUAUGUAUAUAUAUGUAUAUAUAUGCGUAAAGAGGGGGUAGUGAAGUGUAGAGAGAGAGUGAGAGAGAGAGAGCGAGAUGGUAGUGAAGGAGUGAAAGGGACGGAUACGGAUGUCGACAUAGAUCCGCCGGUCGGGAUUCCAUAGUUAUCAAUCUAUCGAUCGAUCGAUCUAUCUAUCUAUCUAUCUAUCUAUCUGGCUUCUUGUGUGUGUGUGUGUAUAUAUAUAUAUAUAUAUAUAUAUAUAUGUAUAUAUACAUAUAUCUGUAUCCCCCACCGUUCCCCGUCAUCUAUUGUUGAUCUGUUCGGUGCAUUAAAAAAAAAAAAGAGAAAGAGGCAUCAGAAAAGAAAAGAUUAUAAUUAUAACAAUAACAACGAAUAAUGCCUUAAAACAAAAAAAGGAAAGAGCGAGAAUCGUUCGGUUUAUUUCUUGAUUUUUUUUUUUUACGAAAAAAAACAAAACAACAACAAUUACUACCACUACUGCUAUUCUUAUUACCACUACUACUACUACUACUACAAUAAUGAAACCUCACUGCUGCUACUGUUAUUAAAUAACUACAAUAACCUGACCAUGGUAAAAUGGUAUCAUUCUGGACAUAAAAUAAAGGUAAG